rnacentral:rRNA from 1 species
GCAUAUCAAUAAGCGGAGGAAAAGAAACCAACAGGGAUUGCCUCAGUAACGGCGAGUGAAGCGGCAACAGCUCAAAUUUGAAAUCUGGCUCUUUCAGGGUCCGAGUUGUAAUUUGUAGAAGAUGCUUUGGGUGUAGCUCCGGUCUAAGUUCCUUGGAACAGGACGUCAUAGAGGGUGAGAAUCCCGUACGUGACUGGUUGCUUUCGCUCGUGUAAAGCUCUUUCGACGAGUCGAGUUGUUUGGGAAUGCAGCUCAAAAUGGGUGGUAAAUUUCAUCUAAAGCUAAAUAUUGGCCAGAGACCGAUAGCGCACAAGUAGAGUGAUCGAAAGAUGAAAAGCACUUUGGAAAGAGAGUUAAACAGUACGUGAAAUUGUUGAAAGGGAAGCGCUUGCAACCAGACUUGCACGCUGUUGAUCAUCCGAGAUUUUUCCCGGUGCACUCGGCAGUGUUCAGGCCAGCAUCGGUUUUGGUGGGCGGAUAAAGGCCUUGGGAAUGUAGCUUCUUUCGGGGAGUGUUAUAGCCCUCGGUGCAAUGCGCCCUACCGGGACCGAGGACCGCGCUUCGGCUAGGAUGCUGGCGUAAUGGUUGUAAGCGACCCGUCUUGAAACACGGACCAAGGAGUCUAACAUCUAUGCGAGUGUUUGGGUGUCAAACCCAUACGCGUAAUGAAAGUGAACGGAGGUGAGAACCCUUAAGGGUGCAUCAUCGACCGAUCCUGAUGUCUUCGGAUGGAUUUGAGUAAGAGCAUAGCUGUUGGGACCCGAAAGAUGGUGAACUAUGCCUGAAUAGGGUGAAGCCAGAGGAAACUCUGGUGGAGGCUCGCAGCGGUUCUGACGUGCAAAUCGAUCGUCAAAUUUGGGUAUAGGGGCGAAAGACUAAUCGAACCAUCUAGUAGCUGGUUCUGCGAG